rnacentral:rRNA from 1 species
GAUCCUGGCUUAGGAUGAACGCUGGCGGCGUGCCUAACACAUGCAAGUCGAGCGUGAACCCUUAGAAUGAAACUUCGGUCGAAUGAAGAGGGGGAAAGCGGCGGACGGGUGAGUAACGCGUAGGCAACCUGCCCCGUACAGAGGGAUAGCCUCGGGAAACCGGGAUUAAAACCUCAUAAUACCAUGGUAUCACAUGAUGCAAUGGUCAAAGAUUUAUCGGUAUGGGAUGGGCCUGCGUCUGAUUAGCUGGUUGGUGGGGUAACGGCCUACCAAGGCAACGAUCAGUAGCCGACCUGAGAGGGUAAUCGGCCACAUUGGAACUGAGACACGGUCCAAACUCCUACGGGAGGCAGCAGUGGGGAAUAUUGCACAAUGGGCGAAAGCCUGAUGCAGCAACGCCGCGUGAGCGAAGAAGGCCUUUGGGUCGUAAAGCUCUGUCGGGAAGGAAGAUAAUGACGGUACUUCCCGAGGAAGCCCCGGCUAACUACGUGCCAGCAGCUGC